AGGAGGUCGUAUGUCAUGCAGAGUGAUGGCAGAAUAUACUGCACUGUGAGCGACCUCCUUA
rnacentral:pre_miRNA from 1 species